rnacentral:rRNA from 1 species
UACGGGGGGGGAGCAAGCGUUGUUCGGAUUUACUGGGCGUAAAGGGCGCGUAGGCGGUCAGCACAAGUCAGUUGUGAAAUCUCCGGGCUUAACUCGGAAAGGUCAACUGAUACUGUGCGACUAGAGUGCAGAAGGGGCAACUGGAAUUCUCGGUGUAGCGGUGAAAAUGCGUAGAUAUCGAGAGGAACACCCGUGGCGAAGGCGGGUCUCUGUCGGGAC